rnacentral:ncRNA from 2 species
UUGAUGGAGUUGGGAGAGACUGUGGUGAACACAGCGCCGAAGGGGAUUCGCGAUAACUCUCAGGCAAAAGGACCUGCUCCGGACG